UACGAAGGGUGCAAACGUUGCUCGGAAUUAUUGGGCGUAAAGCGCACGUAGGCGGCUUGGCAAGUCGGGAUGUGAAAUCCCUCGGCUCAACCAAGGAAGUGCAUCCGAAACUGCUGAGCUUGAGUACGAAAGAGGAUCGCGGAAUUCCCGGUGUAGAGGUGAAAUUCGUAGAUAUCGGGAGGAACACCAGUGGCGAAGGCGGCGAUCUGGGAAGAUACUGACGCUGAGGUGCGAAAGCGUGGGGAGCAAACAGG
rnacentral:rRNA from 1 species